AACGCGAAGAACCUUACCUGGGCUCGAAAUGUAGAGGACGAGACAAGAGAUUGUCUUUCCCGAAAGGGUCUCUAUAUAGGUGCUGCAUGGCUGUCGUCAGCUCGUGCCGUGAGGUGUUUGGUUAAGUCCAGCAACGAGCGCAACCCUUAUCGUUAGUUGCCAACGCGUAAAGGCGGGAACUCUAACGAGACUGCCUAGGUUAACUAGGAGGAAGGUGAGGAUGACGUCAAGUCCGCAUGGCCUUUAUGUCCAGGGCUACACACGUGCUACAAUGGUCGGUACAGAAGGCAGCGAAACCGCGAGGUGGAGCAAAUCCUAGAAAACCGAUCUCAGUUCAGAUUGCAGUCUGCAACUCGGCUGCAUGAAGUUGGAAUUGCUAGUAAUGGCGUGUCAGCAACAACGCCGUGAAUACGUUCCCGGGCCUUGUA
rnacentral:rRNA from 1 species